GACGAACGCUGGCGGCGUGCCUAAUACAUGCAAGUCGAACGCUGACGGAGGAGCUUGCUUCUCUGGAUGAGUUGCGAACGGGUGAGUAACGCGUAGGUAACCUGCCUUGUAGCGGGGGAUAACUAUUGGAAACGAUAGCUAAUACCGCAUAAUAGUAGAUGUUGCAUGACAUUUGCUUAAAAGGUGCACUUGCAUCACUACCAGAUGCACCUGUGUUGUAUUAGCUAGGUGGUGGGGUAACGGCUCACCAAGGCGACGAUACAUAGCCGACCUGAGAGGGGGAUCGGCCGAACUGGGACUGAGACACGGCCCAGACUCCUACGGGGGGCAGCAGUAGGGAAUCUUCGGAAAUGGACGGAAGUCUGACCGAGCAAAGCCGCGUGAGUGAAGAAGGUUGUCGGAUCGUAAAGCUCUGUUGUAAGAGAAGAACGAGUGGGAGAGUGGAAAGUUCACACUGUGACGGUAUCUUACCAGAAAGGGACGGCUAACUACGUG
rnacentral:rRNA from 1 species